UACAGAGGUCUCAAGCGUUGUUCGGAUUCAUUGGGCGUAAAGGGUGCGUAGGCGGCGCGGUCAGUCGGGUGUGAAAUCUCGGGGCUUAACUCCGAAACUGCAUUCGAUACUGCCGUGCUUGAGGACUGGAGAGGAGACUGGAAUUUACGGUGUAGCGGUGAAAUGCGUAGAUAUCGUAAGGAAGACCAGUGGCGAAGGCGGGUCUCUGGACAGUUCCUGACGCUGAGGCACGAAGGUCAGGGGAGCAAACGGG
rnacentral:rRNA from 1 species